AUUCAGGUUUGCUUCUGUUCUAUUGGCUGUUGCCUCUUCAUGCAGUCAGAGAUGAGCCUGCUGUUGCUGAAGGGAGAGAUGAUCAAGUUUCUCGAAUGUGGUUCAGUGAGCAUGCCUGGUGGGACAGUACAGUACUCAAGUAAUUCAAGUGAAGCUAAGGCAAGAAGAAGAUAAGUUCAAAGACAGUAUGCAAUACAAAAUGUUCUCAUGGUGUAGGAAGAAAUCCAAGGCCUGCAACAGACAUACUAUUGAAUAUACAAGUCUACUCACAAGAGUUUGAGAGGUAACUCAGUGAAUAAAGCACUCAGCAUGGAAAAAUGA